AUUGAACGCUGGCGGCAGGCCUAACACAUGCAAGUCGAGCGGAUGAAGGGAGCUUGCUCCUGGAUUCAGCGGCGGACGGGUGAGUAAUGCCUAGGAAUCUGCCUGGUAGUGGGGGAUAACGUCCGGAAACGGGCGCUAAUACCGCAUACGUCCUGAGGGAGAAAGUGGGGGAUCUUCGGACCUCACGCUAUCAGAUGAGCCUAGGUCGGAUUAGCUAGUUGGGGGGUAAAGGCCUACCAAGGCGACGAUCCGUAACUGGUCUGAGAGGAUGAUCAGUCACACUGGAACUGAGACACGGUCCAGACUCCUACGGGAGGCAGCAGUGGGGAAUAUUGGACAAUGGGCGAAAGCCUGAUCCAGCCAUGCCGCGUGUGUGAAGAAGGUCUUCGGAUUGUAAAGCACUUUAAGUUGGGAGGAAGGGCAGUAAGUUAAUACCUUGCUGUUUUGACGUUACCAACAGAAUAAGCACCGGCUAACUUCGUG
rnacentral:rRNA from 1 species